rnacentral:tRNA from 1 species
GGGGGUAUAGCUCAGAGGUAGAGUGCUCGCUUUGCAUGCGAGAAGUCCCGGGUUCGAUCCCCGGUACCUCCA